GCGAGAGUGGCGGAAAUGGCAGACGCGCUGGACUUAGGAUCCAGUGGUUCACAGCCGUGUGGGUUCGACUCCCACCUCUCGCA
rnacentral:tRNA from 1 species